GAUGAACGCUAGCGGCAGGCUUAACACAUGCAAGUCGAGGGGUAUAGUUCUUCGGAGCUAGAGACCGGCGCACGGGUGCGUAACGCGUAUGCAAUCUACCUUUUGCAGAGGGAUAGCCCAGAGAAAUUUGGAUUAAUACCUCAUGGUAUGUGAGAAUGGCAUCAUUUUCACAUUAAAGUCACAACGGCAAAAGAUGAGCAUGCGUCCCAUUAGCUAGUUGGUAAGGUAACGGCUUACCAAGGCAACGAUGGGUAGGGGUCCUGAGAGGGAGAUCCCCCACACUGGUACUGAGACACGGACCAGACUCCUACGGGAGGCAGCAGCGAGGAAUAUUGGACAAUGGGCGCAAGCCUGAUCCAGCCAUGCCGCGUGCAGGAUGACGGUCCUAUGGAUUGUAAACUGCUUUUGUACAGGAAGAAACACUGGUUCGUGAACCAGCUUGACGGUACUGUAAGAAUAAGGAUCGGCUAACUCCGUGCCAGCAGCCGCCGUAACAC
rnacentral:rRNA from 1 species